rnacentral:sRNA from 8 species
AUAUCUCUCUGUACGGGAAGGAUGAGAAGCUUCGACCAAGGUUCGAUUCGAGCGCAGCGAGAAAGCGUUGCCGCAUGCAACGACCCGAAGGGCGAAGCGCGCAGCGCUGAGUCAUCCUUCCCCCACCACCA